rnacentral:rRNA from 1 species
GCCUAACACAUGCAAGUCGAGCGGUAGCACAGAGAGCUUGCUCUCGGGUGACGAGCGGCGGACGGGUGAGUAAUGUCUGGGAAACUGCCUGAUGGAGGGGGAUAACUACUGGAAACGGUAGCUAAUACCGCAUAACGUCGCAAGACCAAAGUGGGGGACCUUCGGGCCUCAUGCCAUCAGAUGUGCCCAGAUGGGAUUAGCUAGUAGGUGGGGUAACGGCUCACCUAGGCGACGAUCCCUAGCUGGUCUGAGAGGAUGACCAGCCACACUGGAACUGAGACACGGUCCAGACUCCUACGGGAGGCAGCAGUGGGGAAUAUUGCACAAUGGGCGCAAGCCUGAUGCAGCCAUGCCGCGUGUGUGAAGAAGGCCUUCGGGUUGUAAAGCACUUUCAGCGGGGAGGAAGGCGGUGAGGUUAAUAACCUCACCGAUUGACGUUACCCGCAGAAGAAGCACCGGCUAACUCCGUGCCAGCAGCCGCGGUAAUACGGAGGGUGCAAGCGUUAAUCGGAAUUACUGGGCGUAAAGCGCACGCAGGCGGUCUGUCAAGUCGGAUGUGAAAUCCCCGGGCUCAACCUGGGAACUGCAUUCGAAACUGGCAGGCUAGAGUCUUGUAGAGGGGGGUAGAAUUCCAGGUGUAGCGGUGAAAUGCGUAGAGAUCUGGAGGAAUACCGGUGGCGAAGGCGGCCCCCUGGACAAAGACUGACGCUCAGGUGCGAAAGCGUGGGGAGCAAACAGGAUUAGAUACCCUGGUAGUCCACGCUGUAAACGAUGUCGAUUUGGAGGUUGUGCCCUUGAGGCGUGGCUUCCGGAGCUAACGCGUUAAAUCGACCGCCUGGGGAGUACGGCCGCAAGGUUAAAACUCAAAUGAAUUGACGGGGGCCCGCACAAGCGGUGGAGCAUGUGGUUUAAUUCGAUGCAACGCGAAGAACCUUACCUGGUCUUGACAUCCACAGAACUUUCCAGAGAUGGAUUGGUGCCUUCGGGAACUGUGAGACAGGUGCUGCAUGGCUGUCGUCAGCUCGUGUUGUGAAAUGUUGGGUUAAGUCCCGCAACGAGCGCAACCCUUAUCCUUUGUUGCCAGCGGUUAGGCCGGGAACUCAAAGGAGACUGCCAGUGAUAAACUGGAGGAAGGUGGGGAUGACGUCAAGUCAUCAUGGCCCUUACGACCAGGGCUACACACGUGCUACAAUGGCAUAUACAAAGAGAAGCGACCUCGCGAGAGCAAGCGGACCUCAUAAAGUAUGUCGUAGUCCGGAUUGGAGUCUGCAACUCGACUCCAUGAAGUCGGAAUCGCUAGUAAUCGUAGAUCAGAAUGCUACGGUGAAUACGUUCCCGGGCCUUGUACACACCGCCCGUCACACCAUGGGAGUGGGUUGCAAAAGAAGUAGGUAGCUUAACCUUCGGGAGGGCGCUUACCACUU